rnacentral:rRNA from 1 species
CGCAAGCGGUGGAUGAUGUGGUUUAAUUCGAUGCAACGCGAAAAACUUACCCACCUUUGACAUGGCAGGAAUCCUGAAGAGAUUUGGGAGUGCUCGAAAGAGAACCUGCACACAGGUGCUGCAUGGCUGUCGUCAGCUCGUGUCGUGAGAUGUUGGGUUAAGUCCCGCAACGAGCGCAACCCUUAUCAUUAGUUGCUACGCAAGGGCACUCUAAUGAGACUGCCGGUGACAAACCGGAGGAAGGUGGGGAUGACGUCAAGUCCUCAUGGCCCUUAUGGGUAGGGCUUCACACGUCAUACAAUGGUCGGUACAGAGGGUUGCCAAGCCGCGAGGUGGAGCCAAUCCCAGAAAGCCGAUCGUAGUCCGGAUUGUUCUCUGCAACUCGAGAGCAUGAAGUCGGAAUCGCUAGUAAUCGCGGAUCAGCAUGUCGCGGUGAAUACGUUCCCGGGCCUU